AGAAAAUAGAUGCAAUCUGUAUGCAUAAUUAUCAAUAUACACUGAGUGUACAAAACACUGCUCUUUCCAUGACAGACUGACCAGCUAUGAUCCCUUAAUUGAUGUCAACUUCAAUCGGUGUAGAUGAAGGAGGGGAGACAGGUUAAAGAACGAUUUUUAAGCCUUGAGGCAAUUGAGACAUGUAUUUUGUAUGUGGGUCAUUCAGAGGGUGAAUCGGCAUGACAAAAUAUUUAAGUGCCUUUUAAACUGGGUAUGGUAGUAGGUGCCAGGCGCACCGGUUUGAGUAUGUCAGGAACUGCAAUCGGUUGGGAUUUUCACACUCAACAAUUUCCCGUGUGUAUCAAGAAUGGUCCACCACCCUAAGGACAUCCAGGCCAACAUGACACAACUGUGGGAAGCAAGUCAACAUGGGCCAGCAUCCCUGUGGAACGCUUUUGACACCUUGUAGAGUCCAUAAUUUAAGGCUGUUCUGAGGGCAAAAUGAGGUGCAACUCAAUAUUAGGAAGGUGUUCCUAACUAAUUUAAAUGUUUUAUUUAACCUUUGUUUAACUAGACAAGUCAGUUAAGAACAAAUUAUUAUUUACAAUGAUGGCCUACCCUGGCCAAACCCUAACACGGAUGACACUGGGCCAAUUGUGUGCCGCCCUAUGGGACUCCCAAUCACGUCCGGUUGUGAUACAGCCUGGAAACUAACCAGGGUCUGUAAUGACACCUCUAGCACUGAGAUGCAGUGCCUUAGACCGCUGCGCCACUCAGGAGCCCAAAAUGUUUUGUACACUCAGUGUAUAUUGUAGCGAUCCUCACAGCAUUCUCACAUAGGUGUUCCUUUUGUCCAGGUGAGAAAGGUUAGUGUGGGGUGCAAUAGAGAUUGCGUAAUCUGCAGAUCUGUUGGGGGGGUAUGUGAAUUGGAGUGUCUGGCUCCAGAUUAAAUCAAAUCAAACUUUAUUUGUCACAUGCGCUGAAUACAACAAGUGUAGACUUUAACCUCUAUGGGCUAGGCGGGACGAAUUCGUCCCACCUACGUAACAGCCACUUGAAGCCUGUGGCGCGAUUUUCAAAACCUUAAAAAUCCUAUUACUUCAAUUUCUCAAACAUAUGACUAUUUUACAGCUAUUUAAAGACAAGACUCUCGUUAAUCUAACCACACUGUCCGAUUUCAAAAAGGCUUUACAACGAAAGCAAAACAUUAGAUUAUGUCAGCAGAGUACCAAGCCAGAAAUAAUCAGACACCCAUUUUUCAAGCUAGCAUAUAAUGUCACAAA
rnacentral:lncRNA from 1 species